rnacentral:misc_RNA from 1 species
UGCGGACGAUCCAAGCGUUAUCCGGAAUCAUUGGGAUUAAAGGGUCCGUAGGCGGGUUAAUAAGUCGGUGGUGAAAGUCUGCAGCUCAACUGUAGAAUUGCCAUUGAUACUGUUAACCUUGAGUAAUUAUGAAGUGGUUAGAAUAUGUAGUGUAGCGGUGAAAUGCAUAGAUAUUACAUAGCAUACCGAUUGCGAAGGCAGAUCACUAAUAAUUUACUGAACCUGAGGGACGAAAGCGUAGGUAGCGAACAGG